rnacentral:lncRNA from 1 species
ACCAGCUCCUCCUUGUACCUCUGGGAGAAUUCGGCUAUGAUUCCAUCUGGUCCUGGACUUUUCUUGGUUGGUUUCCCAGUCAGCCGCUUAUUGUGAAAAGCUGUUCUGAUGUUUGCAGCCCUCUCACACUCAAGAAUGACAACAAUCAGGCUUUUGGAUUUUGGAUGACAAGAUACAGCACAACAAUGGAAUGGCCUCCUUUACUGUGAAAAGCUGGUGACAGAUCAGUAGAAGUUAGUGAACUCAGUAGAAGUUAGGAAGACACAAGAUAUUUGAUAGUUGCUAGCUUGUCUUUUUUUUUUUAACGUUUUCUUAAGCUGCAGGCAAAGUUUUAUUUUAAUUUCUGGAUGUUUUUUGAAAAGUUAAAUAAAUAUGGAAGUGCUAACAAAUAUCUGUGUUUCCAAUAUCCACAAUUAAUUAAUGUUAAUAUUUUGGCAUCAUUGCUUCAGAUAUACUUUAUAUAUGAAAGAAAUAAAAUAUUACUUAGUUUAAGUCUUUCUCAUUCUUAUUCCCUCUUUACUUCUCCCCAA